rnacentral:rRNA from 1 species
UAUUUCAUUGAGACUUCGGUGGAUUUGAUCUAUUUCUAGUGGCGGACGGGUGAGUAACGCGUGGGUAACCUGCCUUAUACAGGGGGAUAACAGUCAGAAAUGGCUGCUAAUACCGCAUAAGCGCACAGAGCUGCAUGGCUCAGUGUGAAAAACUCCGGUGGUAUAAGAUGGACCCGCGUUGGAUUAGCUAGUUGGUGGGGUAACGGCCCACCAAGGCGACGAUCCAUAGCCGGCCUGAGAGGGUGAACGGCCACAUUGGGACUGAGACACGGCCCAGACUCCUACGGGAGGCAGCAGUGGGGAAUAUUGCACAAUGGGGGAAACCCUGAUGCAGCGACGCCGCGUGAAGGAAGAAGUAUCUCGGUAUGUAAACUUCUAUCAGCAGGGAAGAUAGUGACGGUACCUGACUAAGAAGCCCCGGCUAACUACGUGCCAGCAGCCGCGGUAAUACGUAGGGGGCAAGCGUUAUCCGGAUUUACUGGGUGUAAAGGGAGCGUAGACGGUGUGGCAAGUCUGAUGUGAAAGGCAUGGGCUCAACCUGUGGACUGCAUUGGAAACUGUCAUACUUGAGUGCCGGAGGGGUAAGCGGAAUUCCUAGUGUAGCGGUGAAAUGCGUAGAUAUUAGGAGGAACACCAGUGGCGAAGGCGGCUUACU